CCUCAAAAGGCACCGAAUUGAA
rnacentral:misc_RNA from 1 species